rnacentral:rRNA from 1 species
GAUGAACGCUAGCGGCAGGCCUAAUACAUGCAAGUCGAGGGGCAGCACAGGUAGCAAUACUGGGUGGCGACCGGCGCACGGGUGCGUAACACGUAUACAAUCUGCCCAUAUCAGGAGAAUAGCCCGGAGAAAUUCGGAUUAAUGCUCCAUAACAUAAUGAACUGGCAUCAGUUUAUUAUUAAAGUUCCGACGGAUAUGGAUGAGUAUGCGGAUGAUUAGCUAGUUGGUAGUGUAAUGGACUACCAAGGCUACGAUCAAUAGGGGUACUGAGAGGUUAAACCCCCACACUGGUACUGAGACACGGACCAGACUCCUACGGGAGGCAGCAGUAAGGAAUAUUGGACAAUGGUGGCAACACUGAUCCAGCCAUGCCGCGUGCAGGAUGAAGGCGCUACGCGUUGUAAACUGCUUUUGUACGGGAGAAAACCUAUCUACGUGUAGAUAGCUGAUAGUACCGUAAGAAUAAGCAUCGGCUAACUUCGUGCCAGCAGCCGCGGUAAUACGAAGGAUGCAAGCGUUAUCCGGAUUUAUUGGGUUUAAAGGGUGCGUAGGCGGACUUAUAAGUCAGUGGUGAAAUCUCGUUGCUUAACAACGAACGUGCCAUUGAUACUGUAG